UAGCCUUUAUUGUCAGAGGAGAAGUAAGAGCAGGUGGACUCAAAGAUCUCAAGCUGUGGUUAGUACCUUCCUAGUAUUCAAGACCCUGAAAAUGAACAACAUUUCUUUUCUUCUCUUACAGCCGUCUCCCCUUCACAAGUUGAAUGCACUCAUGGACCACGGAGUGAAUCCAGCGUAUCACCCUAGUCUACACUUUGGCCAUUCUCUUCAAAAUAAGGAGCCUGAUGUUUCACAAAACCAUCUGUUGCCCUCUUCUGUUAUUACAGCUGAAUGCUUUAGAAAUCAUUCUGCACCACUAAAAAUAAAAUCCACGUAGAACCUAAAAGAACCAAUGCCAAGUUACUGAAGCCAAAUUCAGGUUGUAUUUUUAAAAGUGUCUAUGAAAUCAUCUAUAAAUAGAAAGGCUUUCCUGUUAUUUUUAAUUACUUCAUUUUAAUGGAAAGACUCCAGCUGGUGAGGAUGUGGUUAGGAUGCCAUGGCACAGGGCCCGCCCUUCCGGACAAGAGGCUGACCCCAGCCAAACGAAGCCAGGGGGUGGUGGUAUUGCACUCAGCAUCUUCAGUGCUUACUCUUGGUUACUGAUCCCAAAGCCUCCUUAGAAACCUCCUGGGGUGUCUCAAACCAUUUCAAACAUGUGCAUAUUUCUGUAAGUCAAAUGACAAGUUGAUUUUCUUAUAUUUAAGGUAAAUGUGGACCACAGAGAGUUUCUCUGUGAGCUGGAAGAGGAAACAUUCCUGAGUCAAACGCUAGGCCAGUGCUGCAGCUCCAGGGUCUGCUGGCAGAGGGGUGUGUCUCCGACAGGCAUCUGUGACAUGCAGGGUGCUGGUCCAGUCUCCCAGAGCCAGGGAGCCUCCCACCCCAUGCCACCUCAUAGGGGAGGAAGAGGGCUUGUUACUGCCUCACACUGGCUGAGGGAGGACAGGAAACAAGGAGACAGCCUGGGGGACUCUGGUAGUGGCCCCCAUCCCCAGACCUGGAUGGAAAGCUGAGAGUCUGGGCAAGUCCUGGCUGGUGGCUCUGGUCUGCUUGUGUGACACCAUGUGCCACCACAAGCCACA
rnacentral:lncRNA from 1 species